GGGGGCCCGCACAAGCGGCGGAGCAUGCGGAUUAAUUCGAUGCAACGCGAAGAACCUUACCAAGGCUUGACAUGAACCGGAAAUACCUGGAAACAGGUGCCCCGCUUGCGGUCGGUUUACAGGUGGUGCAUGGUUGUCGUCAGCUCGCGUCGUGAGAUGUUGGGUUAAGUCCCGCAACGAGCGCAACCCUCGUUCUAUGUUGCCAGCGCGUAAUGGCGGGAACUCAUGGGAGACUGCCGGGGUCAACUCGGAGGAAGGUGGGGACGACGUCAAAUCAUCAUGCCCCUUAUGACCUGGGCUACACACGUGCUACAAUGGACGGUACAAAGGGCUGCAAACCCGCGAGGGGGAGCCAAUCCCAGAAAACCGUUCUCAGUUCGGAUUGCAGGCUGCAACUCGCCUGCAUGAAGCCGGAAUCGCUAGUAAUCGUGGAUCAGCAUGCCACGGUGAAUACGUUCCCGGGCCUUGUACACACCGCCCGUCACACCACGAGAGUUUGUAACACCCGAAGUCGGUGAGGUAACCACUUGUGGAGCCAGCCGCCGAAGGUGGGACAGAUGAUUGGGGUGAAGUCGUAACAAGGUAACCGUAAGGGC
rnacentral:rRNA from 1 species